CCGAGUGCGGGUCCUCAGCGGCCCAACCUCCCACCCUUGUCUCUAUACACCUGUUGCUUUGGCGGGCCCACUGGGGCCACCUGGUCGCCGGGGGACGCAUGUCCCCGGGCCCGCGCCCGCCGAAGCGCUCUGUGAACCCUGAUGAAGAUGGGCUGUCUGAGUACCUAUGAAAAUUGUCA
rnacentral:misc_RNA from 1 species